rnacentral:lncRNA from 11 species
GGGGCAUUAAGCCAUGAAAACAAGAGCAUGCAAUUGUCAAUGCUGAAAUCUUUGUGACUGCAAGCUGUUCCCAGAAGCAGGAAACCGAUAUAAACCGAUGCCAACAGCUAUUUCAGCACAAUGGAAAAACUUGAUUCUAAAUAUGAUGAAUUAACAGAGCAAGAAC